CCCCGACUCCGCCCCAUGACUCAGCGACACAGCGCGCCUCACCGCGGCCCCAAUGACGGCCCCAAUAGCGGCCCCAAUGGCCCCAAUGACGGUCUUAUGGCCCCAAUGGCCCCAAUGACGGCCCCAAUGGCCCCAAUGGCCCCAAUGGCCCCAAUGAUGGCCCCAAUGAUGGCCCCAAUGGCCCCAAUGUGGCACCAAUGGCCCCAAUGGCCCCAAUGAUGGCCCCAAUGGCCCCAAUGACGGCCCCAAUGUCCCCAAUGAUGGCCCCAAUGGCCCCAAUGGCCCCAAUGGCCCCAAUGACGACCCCAAUGAUGGCCCCAAUGGCCCCAAUGGCCCCAAUUUGGCACCAAUGGCCCCAGUGACGGCCCCAAUGUGGCACCAAUGGCCCCAAUGACGGCCCCAAUGUCCCCAAUGAUGGCCCCAAUGGCCCCAAUGUCCCCAAUGGCCCCAAUGACGGCCCCAAUGUCCCCAAUGUCCCCAGUGACGGCCCCAAUGGCCCCAAUGAUGUCCCCAUAACCCCAAUGCCUCCACUGAUGUCCCAAAGGUCCCCAAUAUCCCCAAUGAUGUCCCCAAUGCCCCCAGUGAUGGCCCCAAUGUCCGCAGUGCCACCGCCGCCAAUGUCCCCAAUGCCCCCAAUGAUGUCCCAAAGGUCCCCAAUAUCCCCAAUGAUGUCCAUAAUGGCCCCAGUGACGGCCCCAAUGGCCCCAAUG
ensembl:lncRNA